rnacentral:rRNA from 1 species
GACGUAGGGCGCGAGCGUUAUCCGGAAUUAUUGGGCGUAAAGAGCUCGUAGGCGGCUUAGUAAGUCGGCGUGAAAUACCGAGGCUCAACCUCGGCACUGCCCGUUCGAUACUGCUAUGGCUAGAGUCUGGUAGAGGGAGAACGGAAUUCCCGGUGUAGCGGUGGAAUGCGCAGAUAUCGGGAGGAACACCCGUAGCGAAGGCGGU